CUCCAGGUUGCUUAGGGAAGCCUCAGAGCUCAGGUGGCUGAGAAUGACAGUACACAUCAGGCGAUGGAGAUGUUUCUCUUUCUUCUGAUAAGCACUUAAAUGCUUACCAGGUUCCACUACCUGGGCAACAAAUGUCAUCCUUGCCUUUGGCUGUGGAUUGGUGCAUUUGAUCCUAUCAAUCCCUUGUUUUCAGCCUAAUCCAACUUCCCCAAAACAUGGGGAAAAGAAGAGGAGAAUAUCAGAAAGCUUUCAAAUUUGCAACUGCAAGACUGAUACACAUUUUGCAAGGAUCUGUCUGAUGUGUACAACAAACAUUGGAAUUAAGGCUUCUACAAUACUGGUAUGUGGUCAAGUCUAUGGCUGUGCAAUGCUGGACUUCCGCAAAGCAUCUCCAGCUUCCACUGUUACCCAACUUGUAAACCAGAAGAUGUGCUGAUGUAGGUGGAUAGCAGCUCCAAGACAAGUCUGAGAGCACUGAACACAUUAAGAAGUGAUUGCUGAGCCCGUUAGGGACAGGCACGUCUGCGGACACUGUAGCAGGGUCCCCGGCCGCGGAGAACACGCCGAUCCGGCCCGUUUUGGACAGGCACGUCUGCGGACACCGUACCAGGGUCCCUGGCUGCGGGGAACAAGCUGAUCCAGCCUGUGGACAGGAACAUCUGUGGAAGCCAUAGCAGGGUACCCUGCCGCGGGGAAUAUGCCAGUCUAGCCUGUUUCAGACAGGCAUGCCUAAGGACAAUGUAGCAGGGUCCCUGGCCAAGGGGAAUAUGCCGGUCCAGUGUGUUUUGGACAGGCACAUCUGCGGAUGCCGUAGUAGGGAUCCUGGCCAUGGGGAACAUGCUCGAGCACCGUGUUUCGGACAGGGAUCCACACAUGACCUGUCUACCUUGUAGAGCCAAGAUGGAAUGCAGAGGAAAGUACUGAUUACAAUGUUAUUUCACAACUAGAAUUAUACUGGAAGAAAGAGUGAAAAUAGUCAGAAUUGCCUUAUUUAAGAUUUUUCUUUGCAUUAAGAAAUAGUCCUUAUUUUUGCUUAUAAAUGUAAAUGUAAAGCCACAGGAAAACCAGACACCUCUGACCUUUAUCACUGAGCCUAAAAUUUCCUGCCCUUGUCUUUUGGACCCUGAGGAUGAGGUUUCCAAGACAACCCUAAUCAAAGCCUCAUCUACUACUAUACUACUACGAAGCUUAAGGGUUUUUCCCACUUGCCCUUUGGAGUCUGAGAUCCCUCCCCCUUACCCUUUGGGGUCUAAGGGUGAGGCUUCUAAACCAGCCAUAAUUAAAGCCUCUGUGUGACUAUAUCCAUCUGUAGCUGAUUUUGUUCAAGCCCCUCAAGGACAAAACCCCUUAUAAGAAGUAAAUGGUGAAUUUGCACAUGUGUGUGUCCAUAUAUCUUUUUCUCUCAGUGAUCUCAAACAGAUCAAAUGAGACCUAGGAAAGUUUU
ensembl:lncRNA